rnacentral:lncRNA from 1 species
GUGGCAUUUGCUCCUAACUACUACCUAGAUGCAUGGUUGGGAUGUAGUGCAAACAAUGGCUUGAUCUAAUUCGAUUAAGUGAAUUUGUUAUUUAUUUGCUUUUCUGAGAGCAUACAAAGGCAAGGCCACCUCCAUAUAUAGUGAAAAUAGACUUAGCUUGGUCAGUUUCUAUAUUGAAGUUUUGUUUAGAAUUUUGUAUAAUGUACUAAAUAUUGGAGUUUACACUAUUAUG